UGCUGCUGGCAGGGCUAGACCAGCUCCAGAGAGAACGGAUUCAGUCAGCAAGGGCUGCUGACCUGCCCCAUUCACCAGGGCUGCCAUCCUGUGGCUUCAGCAUUUGUCACUGGGGUGACUUGGGGAAAGGUCUCAACCUCCCCACAUCCCACUUCACUGCUGCCAGAAUCCCUCCUGCCCCCCUCCCUGCCCUACCUGGGUGGGGAUGGAGGUCGGGGUGCAGGAGAGGGUUCUACGAACUUGAGCAGUGUCCCUAGGUGGGUUGGAGGUGGAACAGCUGUCAGGGGCACUGAGGGGGAGGUGGCAGGAGCUAACCCUACAAGGAGGGGGGUUGGCACUGAAGGUCACUAGAGAGGACAAGAAGCCUCCAUCCUGGGGAUCAGGAGCGUGAAUCCACCACUCAGACAUGAGCAGCUGAUGGGUGGAAAUGGUGCUGGUUCCAGGUGCCCUUAAUCCUCCCUCAUUCCUGGGCAGUGUCUCAGUCCCUGACAUGUUCUCGUUCCCCUGCAGCUGGAGGAUGUCACAGCCAAGGUGAUGUGCCUGCUCCGCAUCAUCCAGCACUUGCACCAGGUGCCCGAGGCGCUGCAAGGGCUGCACCUCAUCUGAUGCCCUUAAAGGUUCCCCUCCCAUGAUCAGCAACUCCCACUCCCUGCUGCAGGCCCUGGGGGGUGUGACAGCCUCCCAGAUGGGUGCAGUCAGAAGCUGAGCCACCUCAAGGAGCAGUGGGGACAGGUCACCUUGUCCUAUGAAACCAAGCAGUGCUAGUUCUCAAAGAGGCCGAGAGGGAAAACCCCGCUCCCUCAUGGAGCAAGAAGCUCCCCAGGGAUGUCCUCAAACCUGUUCUCCUGGGAGCAUUUCUGGGAGGAGGCUCCGGUCCCUCAGUCUCCAACUCCAUCAUGAAGUCUCAUUCACAUAACAACUCCGCUCUCCAGCUCCACUUCCCGCAGCAGGACAAACGAACCUUCAGCUCCUAGAGACCUGACUCUGACCUCCUUCUGAUCAGCAAUGGGGUUUCACCAUCCCCUCAACAAACCUGUCAGCCUCUGAAUGAUGAAUGUCAGAGUCACCAAAACCAGCAAAACUCCAACUGCAGCCAGUCGUGCCUUUGUGAACUUAGCCCCUCUGGAAACCAGGUCUGAACUGGGGAGGUCUGAACUCAAAGACUCCUAGACUUUAAGAUCAGAAGGGACCAUUAUGAUCAUCUAGUCUGACCUCCUGCACAAUAGAAUCUGACCCACCCACUCUUGUAAUAAACACCUAACCUAUGUCUGAACUAUUGAAGUUCUCAAAUAAUGCUUUAAAGACUAAAGGUGCAGAGAAUCCUCCAGCAAGUGAACCACACGUGCCCUAUACUGCAGAGGAAGGUGAAAACCCCCCAGGGACUCUGCCAAUCUGCCCUGGAGGAAAUAUUCUUCCCAAGCCCAAAUAUGGCGAUCAGCUAAACACUGAGCAUGUGGGCAAGACUCAGCUCAACCCAGUAAGAGCAGGACUGGGCAGAGCAGGUCUGUAACAGGGAAAGGAGAGUGCUUUCCCCUGGUCUGAAGAGCCUGGGGCUUAGCCAAACUGAUUACAGAAUGAGUCCUACCUCAGAGGGACCAUGUAUUGGCCCUGAAAGAACCAGACUUCAGCGUCGAUAAAGCCUAGCUGGGCUAUGAACUGGAAUGAGAACUAGGUAGGAAGUUGAAAGCAGCAAGGAAAGCCUAGAAGGGAACUUGAGAAGAGAGGUAGGAUGUUGAGAAGUCCAGGGAAACCUGCAGCAAAGAGAAAAGAGCAGCCCUAGCUGUUGAGUACAGAGCCCUGGGCUGCUACCAGUGUCAGGGUGGGACCGGGUUCCUCUACUGGCACCAAAGAAGGGAGCAUACAUGCACCCAGAGUGGGUUACCAAACCCAGCAAGGGAGCUGCAGGCUGAGCCAGAGCCCCAGCGAGAGCAAAAUAACAUUUUUCUCUGGGAAGAGCUCUUUGGACUUUCAGUGUAUGACAAGCUGAGCCCCAGAAGCAUGGACUAAAGGUGAUAAGCCGGUCAAAGGGCCGAAUUACCAGGCAGAGAGACUGCCAUGGUGCUGGAGUGACCAUUGAUGGAGGACCAGAGGGCACCUAACAAUGAGUAGAUUCAUUGAUUAUUGGCAUAGUCAGCAGGACUGAAUUCCCCCUGUCAUCCAUGAGGGCUCAUGGAAGUCUUGGUUACUGAAGGAAGGUCCGUCCCCACAAGUGGGAUUUCCCAUUUGAGUUCCAGGGACUGGUUAAGCAGCCAAAGCAGGUCUCGGGGUUUCUCCAGCAGCUCCUAGAAACCCAACAGAAGCAGAAGGAAGUGCAGGCAGAGCUACAGAUGCUGCUGGUAAUCUUGAGGGAGCAGCAGCAAUACCCGUGAGAGAUCCUGCAAAGGGAAAUCAACCUGCUACGUCCAUCGACAAAAAGAGCAGACUCGGCGAGCAUGCUGGGUCAGUGCUGAGAAGGUUAGCCCAGGAGAGCAGUGCAUGAGAAAGUGUACAAGCAUAGCCUAAUGCCAAGAUGGAAACAAAAGUUCUUUGGUUUGGGUGCAGAGAAGCAGGCCAUAUCGAAAGACCCGGCCUGCAUAGGAAAUUCCUGAGUGGCAAAAAGAGGGGCCAGGGCCCCAAGAAGGUAGAAAAAAAGGAGGUGUCGUCUUGGACAAAAACACAUGAAGCAGGCUAGUUGGAGAUGGCAGGGGUGGCCAUGGACCUUGCAGACCAUCCUCCAACACACCUGCCGGGUGCUGCAGGGAGGUGAAGGAUGAAAUGGUUGGCACAGAGAUGAAUCAGUCACGAGAGUUGAGCAGUGGUGUGUGCUCAGACCCUAAUGGAAAAGGUUUUGGGGGAUGCAGCAGCAGUAGAAAAAAGGCUACAGAAGAAGCUUGUGGCUUCAGAAGAAGGCUCUGCAAGCAGUUGUUAAUGAGAAUGAGUAGCUGCAGGAAGAGAAGGAUGGCCUCUGAGUUCUGGUGAGUACGAGGCUGUAUGAGUGCACAGCCAGUGACGGCGAAAAGAUGGUGAGGAAUGAAGAUUGGACAAGAGUAGAACUUGCCCCCGGGUUGGGCCGGAUUUUAAGGAGGAGGGUAUUUCAUAGGGUGGCUUAGCCUGUGGCUGCAAAGCCUGGAGCUAGGCCAAAUUGAUGACCAAGUGAGCCCCACCUGAGAGGAAACAAGGGAAAACAGCAGCAAAAGUACAGAAGCAGCCCUAGCUGUUCAGUAUACGGCCUUGGGCCAAAACCUGGAGUCCAGGGUAGGACUGGGUUCUCCCACCGUCCCUAAGGAAGGGGACAUAGAAGACCAUAGAAACCCAAGAGGGGCAGGCCAAGCUGAAAUCAGGCUGAGGAAGAGCUUCCCACGAGGGUGAAAGGCCUUGUUUCUCUUCAAGACAUUUUUGGACUUUGUUUGGAAGGAGCAUGACCCAGGAAGCAGUGGACUAAAGGGCAGUCACCUGGCUGGAUGGCUGAGUUACCAGCCAACAAACUGCAAGAGUGACUAUCAACGGGGUUGCUAGCCCAGCUAGAAAGCUUUGAGACGAGGCCCGGCCAGGAUCUAGCGACCCUCUGUUCUCCUUCUGGAGUGCCUUGACCCUGAUUGUAACAUCUCUCUUCCAGUCUCUGGCCCAGCCUCUUACACAGAUAUAUGCUGCAGCCAGCCCAACUCAGAGAGCGGUGGGGAGAGAUGAUCUCCUCCUGUCAAACCAAGCACCAUGGGUCCCAUUGAGGCUUAGAUGGAAGAUCCCAUGCAUCUCCUGGAGGGAUCUGUUCAGAAAUGAGGGAUCCCCAGUGGAAAGCUUGUCUAGCAAAUGAAAACAGAACUGGGGGGUGUGGAAGAAACAAACUCCACUCUCAGAUUGGAAGCAACAAAAUCAGAGACAACUUUAUUUGAGCAAUUCCAAAGGAAGAAUACAGCUGGCAGAGAGCAGCUCUGGCUCAGUUUCUCCAAAGUACAAACAAUAUCACACAAGAAUUUAUACAUUUCAGUGGCCUGCAUUAAUUAAAAACGUCUGCAGUCUGUU